GCCAGCUCGCGGCUCAGCCCACAGCUUUCUCCCUUUGCUCAGCCAACCCUGAAUUUCUCAACACUCGUUAAUAUCUUAAACCUCAACGUUUUACGCGCAUUUCUAGUUGAUUUUGUGUGGUGGACACGCGGGUUUCUUUUUUUGUAUUAAUCUCCAAAAGCGAAUUAAACAGCAUUACGAUUUCUUCCGAUGAUAACGACAAUAAUUAUUUAAUUUCAUAUUUUUUUAAAAAAAAUUAAAGAGCGAGAGAGAGAACAACCAAGCUUCAAAGGGGGGUGGUGGUUGCUCGCAUUCAUUGGGGGGGUCAUUCUAGCGGCGGUGCCGCGCCGUGCGCAAUGCGUCCCAAAGCAUUAAAUUCUCCGCCACGCUCGCACCGUGUGAGUGGAGGAGGCGAGAGGACGCGGGUGGACCUCACCAUGGCACGCAUGGCUGGCCCCCUCCUGGGAGGGACACUGCUGGGCCUCUCCGCCUCGCUCUCCGCAGCCCUCAACCUUGCCCUGCUCUUCCAACUGCAAGGGGCAUUUCGGCAGCAGAGGUGCGACGACCAGCAUCAGCACGCGACUGAGAAACAGCAGCAGCAGCAACAGCAUCAGCAGCAGCCGUCGCAUCAUCAUCAACAGCAGCAGCAGCACCCACCUCAAACGCCCCAACAACAGCAGUUCCAAGACCUGCUGCACCAUCACGAGCAGCUGCAGCAGCAGCAUCAAUACACGGAGCAGCAGUUGCAGUACCCGGCGUUCCAACCGCAGCAGCAGUUGCAGCAGCAGCAGCAGCCGCAGCAGCAGACGGAUGAGAGUGGUAAUGCUGCAGGUGCUGCUGCUGCUAUCAUGAGAACGUCGGCCAUGUGUCUUGCCGCCGUGGCGUUGAGUCUGAACCUGUGCUGUGCGUCCAUCUGUGUCAUACACGCCCUGCUGGCUUCGAGAAUGGUGCACGCUCACAGGGCUCAGCGGUUUGUGGAGAGCACUCAGAAAGCUCGCUUGGUAACCAUGGCUCUCUUCUGCCUCGCUCUGCUCUCCUUCACCGCAGCUCUGUCCCUGCACGCCUUCUUGGUUCUGGACGUCCCGGCCUUCCUGGCGUGCGCCGGCGCGCUGGGCUGCGGCGUUUUACUCUCCGCCUCGGGCCUAAUACACGGCCUCGCUGCGGCCCGCCGCUCGGCCCAGCUUCCCGCCCGGGUCCCCCGCGCCCCGGCCACCCUCAUGCCCCCUCCGCCGCUCCCGCCGCCCCAGCAGCAGCACCACCAGCACCAGCAGCAUCACCACCCGCAGCAGCACCAGCAGCCGCAGCAGCAACAGCCACCGGGCUCGGGCCUGCAGGCCGAAGCCUCGGCUUGCAGGCCCGAGCCUCGGGCCCGGGCGCUCAGCUUCUGGAACCAGGUGGCGCUGAGCGAGCACGGGCGGUCGGACGACAACGGCGACGAUUUCACGCUGGCGGCGAACGACUGCGCCGCGGCAGGGCCCGGGGGGGCGGCCGGCGAGGAGCUGUGCACCCUGAGCGCAUCGCUGCCACACCCGCGCCACCACCAGCGGGUGCCACCGCACAAUGGGCGCGAGAGAUUCGUCGACGUCCCCGCGGAGUCAUGCGGCAGCCGUCGCAAAACCGCCUCCAUGUCCGACAUCGUAGCCGAAUCGCGAAGGCAGCAGCCGCACCAGCAGCAGCCUCACCAGCAGCAGCAGCACCAACAGCAGAAGCAGCAGCAGCACCAGCAGCAGCACCACCACCACCAUCAGCAGCAACAGCCGCCGCCGCAGCAGCAGCAUCAGCAGCAACAACAGCGUCAUCACAUGGAUCCGCUCUCAUUGCUCAGCAGCAAGAUGGCGGCUGCUGGCGGCGGUUGCUCGGGUAGUGCGACGAUGGGAUCACGUGACCGGCAAGGAGCCAAUCAGCAUGGGCCGGUGUCUGGAGACGCCCGGCCGUGGAAUGGCGUGACUCGUGAACUCAAGGCAGCGCAGGCUCGAUGGAGGCUCACCGAUAUCAGCAACACGACGCUGGUGUGAGCCGUGGGCGAAGGCUUUGCGAUCAGCGGGCAUACACACACUUAGCGAUUUUUUUUUUUAAUGAGCGACCUGGCUUUGCGAUGGUGCAAAGUCGUCGGGAUGCGGUAAAGCGACAUCACAGAGGUAUUUGCAAACACUGUUUACAAAUUCUUCUCACUCGUUCCGUUGUCGACUGGCCGGGCAGGUUACUCAAAAGGUCAAGAAGGAGUUGACGUGGAGUAGUCGACAAAACUGAACUUUUCUGCCGACCUUCUGAUCAAUGAAGGUGGCGUUGGCCAAAAACAAACGUGUGGACCGGCUCGACUCUCUCGGUCUGCUUCGAUCGUUUCCCACCACCCAGGGCAGCCACUUCCACAACUAAUGCUGAGCAACACAAGUACGGUUGCCAUCUCUUGAGGUACACAAAAAAAACCAGGACAUACCAUGGGAAGAAUAUCAUACAAUACCAAGAGGGGGGAACGACAUGUAAAUGCAUCGUCUUGAGUGGUGUAUCGUUACAUAUUAUAAUUAUUACACAACUGGCAAAAACUCGGACUUUUAAUGUCCUGGGAAGACUCGCAGAUUUCCCCGGACAGCGGCUUGGGCCUCCUCAACCAAGGGGAGGCAAUCCCGGGCAAAACCAGGAGAGGUGGCAACCGUAGACGUGAGUGACCAUAGGGCAUCAACACCAGUGUCCAGGUUGUACGCAAUGAACAACCAUGGAAGGACGCUGAUGUCGCGUCAUAUAUUCGCUUACGGUGUCGCACGUGUGCACUGUGUAUCUUUAACCGGGUCAGAGGGGUGGCAGUCAACCCAGCAGGCAAGCGGGGUGAGGCCACAGGGUUGGUUGGUAAGCCCUCGCCUUGCCGACCGCCGUUUCUGCGACGUCGGCUGAGGUGUGCGGUCGAGGUCGGCUUCGUUUUGACCGCCGGAAGGUCGCGGCAGGGUCAGAUGUCGACAGUCGCCGAUAACGGCCUCGGCCAACGUUGCCCAGUUCUAUCCCCUGCUGCUGCCGCCAUCGCCGUUCUUAGGACAAGGACCAAGUGAGGCAUGUCCCGUUCAUGUCACCCGACCGAGAUCCCCCAGGACGGGACGUGAGUGCCUCCCUGGUGUCGGCUGAGUAGGCGGUCCAAGUCGCGGUGUUUUUUGGCGCGACGGGACAAAAAGUCGCUCGGGGGAAAGAAAUAAAAACAAAAAAUCGCUAAGUGUGUUAUGCGUCGGUAAAGGCAGGCGCAACCCCAAAACGAGCGCUCCCAGCUUAGCGUGGACGAUUGUCGCGACGUCCGUACCCCGUCGAUCGGUGCAGGGGCAAAGUUAAAACUUCUGUCAAGGAGACUUCACGUUCUCGGGGUCAUACCGCUCGGCAUGACGUCUGACGUUCCGCUCCACGUGCAAGGGAGCUUCUUCGGAAGCCGAAUUGUUUCCUGAACACACAACCAUUUUUCCUGCCAAAUUAUAUACUCCAGUCCAUCGUGCUAACAUACGAUGAAUUUGUAGCCCCUUUUUACAUGCUUAAAUAUGAAUGCAAACGGAAUUAUUAUCAGGCCUUUGCGAAUUUUCUUCUGGAUCGAUUUCCUACCCCAUGCCAGGUCUGUCAAGGGAGUUGUUGGGCCAUACUUCACCACGAUGGUCAGUUAAUUUUGGUAAAGGUGGCAACCAGAACUACUGGUUCAUUGACGUUAGCCGCGGCUGGGGAAUCGAUCUUGAGGCCACCAAGUUCAUAGCAUCGUGCAUUAGCCACUGACAAGAGUUCAAUCUCUGAGGACUAAAAAAUAUUUGGUGUGAAUGCCAAGUGACAAACAGGGCACAGCAUGGAUAGGAGUCAAUGGAGCGGACGUCAGAAGUAGUUCUGUUAAGUCCCCUUCCGCGGGGUGUUCACGUGACGCGAUUCCGUCAUUGGAAUAACAUUUUUUGACAAAAGGAAAAGUAAAAAAAUUAAAAGUGCACUUUUCACGAUCGGCGACGAUUGAAAUCCCCCCGCAGAACGGACACAAAACGGGCCGUUGGGUAGCGUCCCUUGGCGUCACGCGCGCUUGCUGGUUCGCUUCUUUGGGUUGCGCCUUCGUUAAAGCGACGGCGUGAGUACGACGGAGACUAUAGCAAUUGUCAAAAAAAAAACAAAUACUAUACAAAUUACGUAUAUAUCAAGUUCUGGUAGGUAUACUCGUAGCAUCGUUCACUUCGACGGAGACCGACGUGAAUAAGGCAGCCUUCAAACUGCCGGAGGCAGCUCAUCGUGACGUGUCCUCGUAUUUUCCAGACUACCCAUCCCCCCCGUUCCCUUCUAACCAGUCGUGCAUUCGUGUGUUGUAAGAUUCUCAUAUUUCUCGAAGGAGGGGGGGGGGGGCAUCAUUCGCCUGGAGCUGAAGGCGACGGGAAUGAAAUCAGUUUCAGGGGGAUGCUGCACGGUGUCGGAGUGGGUGUGGGUGGAGAAUGAGAAGAGCCCAGAUAGACAAGGAGUCAGAUAUGAAGGCAUGAGGCGAGACAGAAGAUAGAGCCUGUGAGACACACGGGAAGACACGCAGACAAAUACAGAGAGGCGCGGACAGAGACAGAAGACUCGGGAAGGCAAACGUACGGAGAGGCAUUGGAGAGAGACAGACACAUAUCGAGACAAACACAGAGGGAAACAGACACGAAGACUUGCAGACAAGUGGACACAGAGAGACAAGGUGGCUACGCAGAGACAAGAAGAGCAAGAGGCAAGCGGAGGUAGAGACACAGAGAUGCGGUCAAGCCGUAGAAAUGGAGAUGCAGCGAGAGACAUGGAGAGAGACAGUAACAGUACAUAGCUUCACCGUUAGUUCAACGAAGCUCCUAUUAUAAUCUGCCAUCAGAUUGUCCGCUACAACUGCUUUCCAUGGUGCAGAAUUGAUCGGAAAAUACUAAUUUUGUUUGGGCCUCAAUUACUCCGAUUAUCCAUAAUUUGGAGACAAACCAGGAAGCAACCGCGCCCUCUACUGCCGCCCAUUUGCAGGCCGGUGCUGCUGGUGCGGCACGGGGACAGCUGCCACUGGGGGUACCCUUGGUAUAGACUACAGCAGGGCGUUGGAAAGCUUGAGUUGGGAAGUGAUGUGAAGGCGAUUUCUCGCCCCUCCGAUGCGCACGGUAGGUGAAGUAGGGAGCGAAAGAAGUUCAACAUAAGUACGUACCGAAACAGGAGGACUUUCUAAACAACUCCGGCUAUCUCCUGAUGAGGCUGGUUGUAAUCACCAGCGAAAACGUUGUACACAAAUCGUAAAUGUUGUGGGGUUACUCUCCAACACAGCGGUGUGCUGUACCAGUAACUAAUUGGCACGUUUUGUUUACGUGACAAACCUUACUAAUUGUCUGUGUCGGGUGGUGGUGGGUUUAACGACACAUUUAUAUUUACACGAUCUAACCCAAAAAACCCUUUAUUAUGCAUAAUAUCGGUCGUGACAGCCUACGUGUUAAACAUACGUCCUCUUAUCCACGUAUUAAAGGCGUCGGUGUGGCAACUUCAUCGUCACCACCAUCAUCAUCACCAUCAUCACCAUCACCCUAUUGUCCGUGAUUAUCCAUGGAUAACCACGCAGACAAGCGGAGGAGUUACUUUCAUGGUUUUUUGCGGAGAUAUAUGAUUUUGUCAAUGGCGACCCCUACCCACAUCGACGCGGAUAAUAGGAUUUUUGCUCGUUUGUUGUAGCGGCGGCCGUAUUCAAGCUCAAAGAUUUUUGUUGGGGGGUCGGGAGGGGGGUAAGGGAGAUGGGGUGGGGGAGCAGGAGGGGAAGGCACUUGACUGGGUCUAAGUACAGCAUUUGUCGCCACUUUUGUUUGCGUGAAUCCUCCUGUGUGGUGGUGAUGGCAGUGGUGGUGGAGAUAUGUGGUUUAUAGGUAGCGCAGUAUUAACCCUUUCCCGUGCCGAUGAUGUCCGUGUACGUCAUUAGAACGGAAUCGGAAUAAAAACGAAAGCAAAAUAACUCCGUCGGUACCGAGGCUCCCACAAGGCCAUGCGGGAGACUGUGUGGCACAGUUUGGCGCUAGCUAUCAUAAAGUGUGGUCGUGUCGCUACAGUUCUCUGCGGUGAGUACAAUGUAUUUAAAAGCAGCGGUGCUAUUACGCCUCUGUAAAUAAAAUUCACGCUGAACCGCUUGCGUUUUCCGAGAUUCAACGGUGAAUGGGAUAACCACCCUGCAACUUGCAGUUGUCUGGCAACGGGAAAGGGUUAAGUAGCCAGCAGAUUGCUGACUGCAAAUCACCUGUGCUGACUUGAGUAAGCAAUCGCUCCCCCGUACACUAUGACGAGGUAUACCUGUAAGAAUUACUCCCUUACCCUGAGAAUUGUCACGAUUCGGUUUUUUUUUUACUCGGAGGUGCUUUGUAGCAUCCCCUUUAAGUGGCUGCACAGGCCACGUGAACUACGCAAGAUGAUCGAGAGUGGCGAAGAUAAUAGAUGCACACGGGGACGGCACGGUGUGUCAUCAUAAACAUGCGCAUGGUGCACCGUGAGUGUAAGAUUCGGUAGUUAUGGAUGAACCGAUGGCAUCGAUGCACCCGCUCCGCUGGGUUGAGGUGUUGGGCCAAGCGCGUCCGUGGCCCAGAAAUGCUUUCGGGCCGGGCGCACAACACCUGAGCAAUCGGUUGCAUGCAGCUGAAUCACUUACGCGUUGAAAGGGAUCUGCUCAGAGAUUUGUAGCAACAUCUUUCACCACGUGACAAAUUUUUUAACUGUGAUUGGUUACGGUCCUGAUGUGGGUGGGUGGUUGGUGGGAGGAGCUAAGGAAAAAAUGGCGGGGCGAGGCUACAAAGGGUGUGGCCAGACGCGUCCUGACCGCACAACUACCUGCUCGGAUGCGGAAAAAGCAGUCGCAGGCAAUGUUUGAGGUUAAUCACCAGAGUGAUCUGAUUGCGCAACUUUAUUGCUCAGGUGUGGGAGCCGGCUUUUUCGAAGCGUGGUUGGUGGAUCGCGGUUGAGAGUUAUUGCGUGGAACAACUUCCACCCGCAGGACACCCCGCCCCGGGGCGAAUGCAGAACGACCAACAGGAGGCUGCUGGCCUGCGUCUAAAUUGAGUGGCCCCCUCUUGUACGCAUGGCCGUUGGCCCGGCGACUUCGUCACCUCCGGUGUUCCUCCCCAUCACGUGCAAACAUGCAGAGGCGCAUCCGUAGAACGUCGCAAUGUAGCGGGGACCGUCGCGUGACGAAGAUGAGUCUUGAGACUCGGUUGAGGUUCCCUUGCGUAACCAGUCUAGAGAUAAAUCGAUGCGGGUGAACCCUUUUGGAAGGGAUGCCCCGGGCGAGAGCAUAACACACAUGCUCCUUUAUUGUUGUUGUUGUAAAGUAGUCACAGGUAACUUGCGAAAUUCGGGACGAGGGCUAUUUCACUGUUCAUGCAAUGGCCUAACCCUUGCAAAUUAUAUCACAGGGUCUCUCACCACGGACCGCGGCCGGGCUUGGGCAAGGCAGUCUGUUUUGCAGAAGUUUAGCGCGUGGGCUGUAGUGGGAAUCAAACUGCAAACCUCAAAGGGCACUGGCUCGGUGGCAAGCCAAGCGGAUAGCCAGAUCGUCGAUGCGCUCGACACGUGUUAUGGUCCGAGAGCGCGAUCGUCGUGGGACGAUGUCAAAGUUUGACGGUUACUCCGAAAACUCAAGUAGUGCUUAUUGUUGCUCGAGUGGGAAAAAAAAUUCGUCGUGUGGCACACGCAAACACACACACACGUGCAACACACACACACAUGCAACACACACACACGUGGCCGAUCGGAGAGGACGCGUGUGGUGGGGUAAAGUGUGGGCACUCUCACAGUUUUCAAAGACGUCUGGCGAAAGUCCCGACCAGACGGUGUAGUUCCUUCCGCCAGCAGCAGCAGCAGCAGCGUGAUAUAGAACAUUUGCAGGGCUGCACUUUUACCGUCUGCAAGAUGUGAAUCCGAGAUCUACAGGGAUAUUUCAACUUUUCUAAAUAUUUUAUUCUUGUUUCACUCAGGACACCGCCUGCAUGUGAAAUUGUAAGUUAUUGCUCUGCGUCUACAUGAAGCCGUACAAAAAGAAGAGCGGCAGUAUGGAAGCAAUUCAAAUGUGGCGUGCAGUGGUGAUAUCUAAUAAUCAUAAUAACUUGGAUUUAUUUAUUUUUGAAUUGCCAUAGCAUCUAAAAGCACCUUGCACCACAUCUCAUCUCAGACAGUUAUGUUUUAACAUUUUCCCAGACAAGGCCCACAAUGAGAUAUACAGUUUAUUUUUUCCCAGAAGCGAUCUGGCCACAAAUGAAAGCCCAGUCAAGUGGCUUGCCACGUGGGAAUUUAUAGCAGCCAAAUACUCUCAACACAUGUUGAUUCUAAAUGUGGAGGGAAACCACGGAGGACCCGGAGAAACAAUCCACGCGACCACCAAGUGUCGGGAUCGAACCCACGAACUCCUGUAUAUCAGGCGAGGUAAUUAACAAUUCGCUUCGACAGGGGGGAACCUCCCUCAGUGGCAGCUGUCCCCGUGCAGUACAAGGCCGGUGACUCAGCACCGCACCGGCCCCUAAGUUUGCCUUUCAUCUGCCACUUUUCGGGGGAGCGGGAGGGGGGGGUGAUUGCCACCGCUGCUGCUGCUGCUGUUUAACUGGCAGGUUAUUUUCCAACACCCGUGGGUGCAAAUGCUCUCCUUCACCCCUACCCCCUUACAGGCGGGCAAUUUGAUGAAUUGUCGCGAUGUGAGGUGGGGAGGGGGGGCCGCGACUCAACGGCGUGCCCACCGCGGUGGCACCGCUACGGUCGAUUGAUGCGACGGCUGUGAAACAGCGUGGCCAUUGUGAGCGAGCACGUGACUGAUCGCGUCGCAUGAAACGGACCGAUGUGGGGGAGUGCGGCGGAGUCUCUUAUCUGAAGGCGGUGGUCUUCACUCAUGUUCAGAGGUGGGGCUGUGGGCAGGAGGUUGGGGGGGGCGGGCCCACUUUGGCCGAUAAGACAUCGUCAGCGUGAGAGCCGCCACGCGUUUGAAACCAUUGCUGGGUUUGACAUCAGCACGAUGAUGGGGGGGGGGGGGGGGGUCUUCACAUGUUGUGGAUUGUCGGAGGCCGCACGAUCACGAGGCCGCACUAAAGGCCACCAGGGGCCACCCAGUGGCCCCGCGGGGCCUUGCAAAGGAAGAACCCUGGGCUGUGGAAAUUUACCUACGCCACGGGGUCAUUACUAUGAGCUACCACAUUUGACACUUGGGAGCUUAUCUCAGAGAACACGAAACGCUAAGUCCAUGCGAUUAGUGGCCCUGAUGGUCACUCAUCUCUACUUGUCAAUUUUUGCCACCACAGCUACAUUAUUGCCCUUCUUGAAUAUUAUAAAUCCAAACAGGAUUUUAUUUUGCACUUUUUUUUUGUCAAUCCACUCCUGGAUGAGGACCCCCCCCCCCCACCAUGCCUUGAGGGCCAUGAGGUAUUUUUAGACCAUACUUCACCUCGCUGGUUGGUCAGUGCGGGUUGGUGAGGGUUGGGGUAUUGGACGGAGUGUGGGGACAUCAUGGGAUUUAAACUGUACUGCCCUCUACUCCCCCACAGCGCCCACAACACUUGUCUCGAAUGCACAGUGGUCACCCGCAGAUUACCCAGCCUCAAACCUUGCUUGGCUUUUGACAUGAUGGGGGCUCGUUCCGAUGCCAUUUCGACCACAGGCAACACGUGCCACUCGAGUUCUCACGUCUGCGAUUCAAUGAAUCUACCACGAGCUUAGCGGUGCAUCGUAACCAAAUUGAUGACAUUUACUGCACGCCCUAUUGGCAGGCCAGAGCUAUUCCAACGGUGGGGGGAGGGGGGGGGGAUCAAUCUACAUUCUCUGUACCACACGACGUUGAAUAGGGAGUAGAUAUUUUUGGUUUGUUUGGAGGAGGAGCUCUUGUACUAACGGGACUAGCUAGGUAACAGGAUCGAGCGGUGUUAGCGACGACUAACAUCGGGUACUACGUUCAUAGAUUGCCGUGGGUCUUUUAAUCGAUUAGUGCCACAAGGUUCGUCAACGGGAUACAUCGCGCGCGAGUCGUCAAUGUCCGCGUCACGUUUUGCGCGUUUUCUUUGUGCGUCGCGGUGUGUGGGCUCGCGCUGACGAGCUCCGCGUUUCAUGAUUUUGUGCUAAAAAAAAGAGAGGCCCUCUGAGGUGACUGAGAGUAGAGAUUUUGUUUCGUUUUUUUUGUCUUUUGGUUUAUCAUUAAACGUUAACUGUUCCAUUUCUAUGGCCCGUCCAAAAUGUGUGAUUGUUAUUGCCUGGUUUACAUUUAUAUGUGUGUGUGUGUAACAUAUGUACAUGUGUAACACAAGGCCGUAGCCAUGGAGUCAAGAUUGGGGGGACCAAAUCUUUCAGGGGGUCUGGGGGUCCGCCCCCAGAAAAAUAUCGAAAUUUGAAAACGAAUUUCCUGCCAUUU